UCUGUCUUCACGGUCGGUGGUGCAGUUUGUCCGGUGACUCUUUGUUCCUGUGGUUCACCUGCUGCCGUUUUGUUUAGGCCAGUUUACUGUUGGGUUUAUACUGUUUUGAUUUAGUUCAUAUUGUUUAUUUAGCAUUUUUGCUUGUUUUGUUUAUAUUGAUUGGGGUUAGCUUGUUGCCUUUCUCUUUAUAGUUUAGUUUCAGUUAGUUUGUGUUUCGCCAACUGGGAUUCCCCUUUGUUUGUUUAACCUUGUUUUCAGUUAUUUCUUAUUUCCGUUAGUAAAGCUGAGUGCCGGUCAUUGGAGGGGCUAGUCACCCUCACUAUUUGUUGUGGUGAAGAUCGCCGGGGAGCACGAGUGAGGACCUGUUUGCUUUGUGGUUUGCUGUGGCUGCACCUGUGUCCUACUCUCUUUAUGUUUAUAUCCUGGGGUGCAAGUCCCCAGGUGGCGUUGUCGGUCCCCCAUCCCACUUCAUUAUCAUUCAAAUUUAACCACACCACCCCGCCACAUUAAGUACAGUACAUGAGUAAAUGUCCAGAGGAGCAAUGAUAGAGAUCAUCCCAGGGUAGAAGACCAGGUAUAAAUGGCCAUGGGAUCAUUCCUGAAGUGACCUUUGACAUCAUUAUAUCAUGACUAAGCAUGAGCUGUGUGAACAUUCAUCUGGAAAAUGUAAAAACUUUAUUCACUGAUUUGUGACACAUUCAGCCUUCAACUAUUAACCUCCAGCAGACGGACGCAGAAAGAGGUUAUGAAUCGACAGAAAAAACAGUGUGCAUGUGGGAAGCAUGCUAAGAGUUUAAAUAUGUACACUUGUAUUUUCCACUUUUAAACAAAGACUCUUUUAUAACCAAGGCCAGAGGCGGCAUUGAUUGAUGUUCAACUUGGUCCAGCAAUGAACUCUUGUACUUGAGAUACUUGUUCAUGUCAGAGGGGAGGGGAUGGAGAUGGUGCAGGCCUGUUGAUGGUUAUGUUUAUUGUAUUAUCCUGUGAACCACUGUCCUGUUUUUCAUUCUUAUCUGUUGCUGCUUAAACCACAACAUUUCCCCAAGAGGAUUAAUAAAGGUAGAUCUUGUCCUUCACAUGGUGGGGCAUGGGUUUCUGUAGCUGCAACAACAGAUCCAAUAACAUUACCUUACUGAAAAGAAUUGUUAUGGAGGAGUGAUGCUGAUACUUAGUUUCCGGUGGCAACCUCUACAGAAUGUCCGAUCAGAACACAAAGGAGGAAAACGGCAUCCAGAGAAGUAUUAUUGAGUGUCAUUUAUUGAGUCUUCACACCCACAACACAGAGUACCGAAGUGAUUGUACUUGCUGAUAUAGUAGAUAGGUGUGUAAGGUCUGUAAGGUGUGGUUCUGUAACACAGAAAAGAAAGUAAAGACAUGUGUAUAAUGUCCUGCAAUAACUUUGUAGCCUACAACUUUGUGGCUUUGAAAUAGUUUAACUGAAGCUAAACAUGAAGCUAAACAUUAGGCUUACACAUAGCCCGCACACAUGCACCAUAAAUUAUUGUACAAAUAGCAUUAGCUAGCUCAAGAUGAGGCUAAACUGUGCUACAUCAGUAUCAGCAUGCCAAUCGCGAUUAGCAUAAAUUAGCAAGUCAGCGAAAAAUAAAGCGUAACUUGGGGCAUCCAACCAACAGUUAAGAUUGGAGGCUUGACAACUAACAUAUAAUCACUUAUAUGCACAAACUCACCAUUAGAUGCACGCACACCACCAAAGUAACAGAAAUGAGUGACUUAAACAAUGAGAGCUACAAGUAUAUAGGGCCAAGAGAUAGGGCCAAUUAACUGCCUGACCAAAUCACACUGACCAAUACAAGGAAUAAACAGAUCUGAAAACAAACAGAUGGGCUUUUGUACACUUACACCAGGCCCGGACUGGCCAUCGGGAGCAGCUGGAGGUGAUCCUGGUGACUUUGACCUUCCUUCUUUGGUGAAACUGAUAAGGUGUGUGUGUGUGUGUGUGUGUGUGUGUGUGUGUGUGUGUGUGUGUGUGUGUGUGUGUGUGUGUGUGUGUGUGUGUGUGUGUGU